AAAGCACCUAGUCAUUAAACAUCACUGGAGUGCAAUAAUUGGUAGGUUAGGUUAGGUUAGGUUUAUCUGAUAAGUCCUGCAUCGCAGGACCAGAAUAUUAAACUCAUUUUUGGCUCAUGACGGAGUGCUAGGGGCUUGCUCCACCUCUGUCGCGGGUUGGCCCGGCAUUGCAGUACCGCCGGGAUCGGCCCACCUAAA